GAUGAACGCUAGCGGCAGGCUUAAUACAUGCAAGUCAAGGGGGUAGCAAUACAACCGGCGCACGGGUGAGUAACGCGUACACAACAUACCAUAUACUGGAGUAUAGCUUUGGGAAACUGAAGGUAAUCCUCCAUAACAUUGCGAGAGGGCAUCUGAUUGCAAUUAAAGUUUCGGCGGUAUAUGAUUGGUGUGCGUUUGAUUAGCUAGUUGGUAGGGUAACGGCCUACCAAGGCGACGAUCAAUAGCUGGCGUGAGAGCGCGACCAGCCACACUGGAACUGAGACACGGUCCAGACUCCUACGGGAGGCAGCAGUAGGGAAUAUUGGACAAUGGGCGAAAGCCUGAUCCAGCCAUGCCGCGUGAUAGAUGAAGGCCCUCUGGGUUGUAAAUAUCUUUUAUCUGGGAAGAAACACUCCUAUUCUUAGGAACUUGACGGUACCAGAGGAAUAAGCACCGGCUAACUCCGUGCCAGCAGCCG
rnacentral:rRNA from 1 species